AUUGAACGCUGGCGGCAGGCCUAACACAUGCAAGUCGAGCGGAUGACGGGAGCUUGCUCCUUGAUUCAGCGGCGGACGGGUGAGUAAUGCCUAGGAAUCUGCCUGGUAGUGGGGGACAACGUUUCGAAAGGAACGCUAAUACCGCAUACGUCCUACGGGAGAAAGCAGGGGACCUUCGGACCUUGCGCUAUCAGAUGAGCCUAGGUCGGAUUAGCUUGUUGGUGAGGUAAUGGCUCACCAAGGCGACGAUCCUUAACUGGUCUGAGAGGAUGAUCAGUCACACUGGAACUGAGACACGGUCCAGACUCCUACGGGAGGCAGCAGUGGGGAAUAUUGGACAAUGGGCGAAAGCCUGAUCCAGCCAUGCCGCGUGUGUGAAGAAGGUCUUCGGAUUGUAAAGCACUUUAAGUUGGGAGGAAGGGUUGUAGAUUAAUACUCUGCAAUUUUGACGUUACCGACAGAAUAAGCACCGGCUAACUCUGUGCCAGCCGCCGCAGUAA
rnacentral:rRNA from 1 species